rnacentral:rRNA from 1 species
CCUACGGGAGGCAGCAGUGAGGAAUAUUGGUCAAUGGGCGCGAGCCUGAACCAGCCAAGUCGCGUGAGGGAAGACGGUCCUAUGGAUUGUAAACCUCUUUUGUCGGGGAGCAAAAGACGCCACGCGUGGCGUUCCGCGAGUACCCGAUGAAUAAGCCUCGGCUAAUUCCGUGCCAGCAGCCGCGGUAAUACGGAGGCUGCGAGCGUUAUCCGGAUUUAUUGGGUUUAAAGGGUGCGCAGGCGGAAGCUAAAGCCAGCGGUAAAAUUGAGGGGCUCAACCUCUUCGAGCCGUUGAAACUGGUUUUCUUGAGUGAGUGAGAAGUAUGCGGAAUGCGUGGUGUAGCGGUGAAAUGCAUAGAUAUCACGCAGAACUCCGAUUGCGAAGGCAGCAUACCGGCGCGCAACUGACGCUCAUGCACGAAAGUGUGGGUAUCGAACAGGAUUAGAUACCCUUGUAGUC